rnacentral:rRNA from 1 species
GAUGAACGUUUGCGGCGUGCCUAAUACAUGCAAGUCGAGCGAACAGACAAGGAGCUUGCUCCUUUGACGUUAGCGGCGGACGGGUGAGUAACACGUGGGUAACCUACCUAUAAGACUGGGAUAACUUCGGGAAACCGGAGCUAAUACCGGAUAAUAUUUCGAACCGCAUGGUUCGAUAGUGAAAGAUGGUUUUGCUAUCACUUAUAGAUGGACCCGCGCCGUAUUAGCUAGUUGGUAAGGUAACGGCUUACCAAGGCGACGAUACGUAGCCGACCUGAGAGGGUGAUCGGCCACACUGGAACUGAGACACGGUCCAGACUCCUACGGGAGGCAGCAGUAGGGAAUCUUCCGCAAUGGGCGAAAGCCUGACGGAGCAACGCCGCGUGAGUGAUGAAGGUCUUCGGAUCGUAAAACUCUGUUAUUAGGGAAGAACAUACGUGUAAGUAACUAUGCACGUCUUGACGGUACCUAAUCAGAAAGCCACGGCUAACUACGUGCCAGCAGCCGCGGUAAUACGUAGGUGGCAAGCGUUAUCCGGAAUUAUUGGGCGUAAAGCGCGCGUAGGCGGUUUUUUAAGUCUGAUGUGAAAGCCCACGGCUCAACCGUGGAGGGUCAUUGGAAACUGUAAAACUUGAGUGCAGAAGAGGAAAGUGGAAUUCCAUGUGUAGCGGUGAAAUGCGCAGAGAUAUGGAGGAACACCAGUGGCGAAGGCGACUUUCUGGUCUGUAACUGACGCUGAUGUGCGAAAGCGUGGGGAUCAAACAGGAUUAGAUACCCUGGUAGUCCACGCCGUAAACGAUGAGUGCUAAGUGUUAGGGGGUUUCCGCCCCUUAGUGCUGCAGCUAACGCAUUAAGCACUCCGCCUGGGGAGUACGACCGCAAGGUUGAAACUCAAAGGAAUUGACGGGGACCCGCACAAGCGGUGGAGCAUGUGGUUUAAUUCGAAGCAACGCGAAGAACCUUACCAAAUCUUGACAUCCUUUGACCACUCUAGAGAUAGAGCCUUCCCCUUCGGGGGACAAAGUGACAGGUGGUGCAUGGUUGUCGUCAGCUCGUGUCGUGAGAUGUUGGGUUAAGUCCCGCAACGAGCGCAACCCUUAAGCUUAGUUGCCAUCAUUAAGUUGGGCACUCUAAGUUGACUGCCGGUGACAAACCGGAGGAAGGUGGGGAUGACGUCAAAUCAUCAUGCCCCUUAUGAUUUGGGCUACACACGUGCUACAAUGGACAAUACAAAGGGCAGCGAAACCGCGAGGUCAAGCAAAUCCCAUAAAGUUGUUCUCAGUUCGGAUUGUAGUCUGCAACUCGACUACAUGAAGCUGGAAUCGCUAGUAAUCGUAGAUCAGCAUGCUACGGUGAAUACGUUCCCGGGUCU